rnacentral:misc_RNA from 1 species
UCCGGUUUGUCACCGGCGGUCCCCUUAGAGUUCCCAACUGAAUGCUGGCAACUAAGGGCAAGGGUUGCGCUCGUUAGAGGACUUAACCCGACAUCUCACGACACGAGCUGACGACAGCCAUGCAGCACCUGUACCAGUUGUACCCCGAAGGGCCUACCCCACUUUCAUGGGGAUAAUCCUGGCAAGUCAAGCCCAGGUAAGGUUCUGCGCGUUGCUUCGAAUUGAACCACAUGCUCCACCGCUUGUGUGAGCCCCCGUCAAUUCCUUUGAGUUUUAGCCUUGCGACCGUACUUCCCAGGCGGUCCACUUAGCACUUUUGCUUCGACCGUGAAACCGUCAGAGGUUCCACGAUCUAGUGGACAUCGUUUAGGGCCAGGACUAC